UACAGAGGUCUCAAGCGUUGUUCGGAUUCAUUGGGCGUAAAGGGUGCGUAGGCGGCGCGGUAAGUCGGGUGUGAAAUCUCGGAGCUUAACUCCGAAACUGCAUUCGAUACUGCGGUGCUUGAGGACUGGAGAGGAGACUGGAAUUUACGGUGUAGCAGUGAAAUGCGUAGAGAUCGUAAGGAAAGACCAGUGGCGAAGGCGAGUCUCUGGACAGUUACUGACACUGAGGCACGAAGGCCAGGGGAGCAAACGGG
rnacentral:rRNA from 1 species